GCAUCCAUGGCUGAAUGGUGAAAGCACCCAACCGGGCAAAUUCGUAGGUUCGAUUCCUGCUGGAUGCG
rnacentral:tRNA from 1 species